rnacentral:rRNA from 1 species
GAACUGAAGAGUUUGAUCAUGGCUCAGAUUGAACGCUGGCGGCAGGCCUAACACAUGCAAGUCGAGCGGAUGAAGGGAGCUUGCUCCUGGAUUCAGCGGCGGACGGGUGAGUAAUGCCUAGGAAUCUGCCUGGUAGUGGGGGAUAACGUCCGGAAACGGGCGCUAAUACCGCAUACGUCCUGAGGGAGAAAGUGGGGGAUCUUCGGACCUCACGCUAUCAGAUGAGCCUAGGUCGGAUUAGCUAGUUGGUGGGGUAAAGG